CAACAAGCAUCUGCUGCCAACUGGAGUAACUUCUAUUCCCGUCGUAAAUAACGUUACUAGAACUUCCCAAAAGAAGCAAUAUCGUCACUGUGAAUGGAAAAACUACGGCAAAACUUUUGAAAGUGGUCGGAGUAACUUGAAAGUGACAGCUGACCCGAAAAGGAUUUUUAAAGCGUAAUUAUUUAUUUGGAGAACUAGUCAAAAGGUUGCAACUGGAUUUACAGGAUCACUUUUCUAACAGUCUUCACAUCAUGGUACAUAAAUAUGAUACCAAAAGAGCAGUUGGGCUACUGAAACAGUACCAGGCAAGUCUGACCAGCCCAGAAGAGCAGACCCUGAAGACCAGCGUGGAGAAGGUCUCUUCCAUCUUUGGCAGUCAUCUUUUUCAGGCUCUGCUGGAUAUUCAGGAAUGCUACGAGGUUACUCUGCAAAUGAAUGCAGCGCAAAAUGGAGUUAAAGACCGCAUCUCU